UACGUAGGGUGCGAGCGUUGUCCGGAAUUACUGGGCGUAAAGAGCUCGUAGGUGGUUUGUCGCGUUGUUCGUGAAAACUCACAGCUCAACUGUGGGCGUGCGGGCGAUACGGGCAGACUGGAGUACUGCAGGGGAGACUGGAAUUCCUGGUGUAGCGGUGAAAUGCGCAGAUAUCAGGAGGAACACCGGUGGCGAAGGCGGGUCUCUGGGCAACAACUGACGCUGAGGCCCGAAGGCCAGGGGAGCAAACGGG
rnacentral:rRNA from 1 species